rnacentral:ncRNA from 1 species
UAUUCACGGGACCACUGGUUACGCGCUUAUCUGACAAGGUACGGUGCUCCGCUACGUCCUCGCAGUUAACGGCUGAAAGCCUCUAAGCCGGAAACUGCCCUUGCGCAGGCUCGAGCUCCGCUCAAAGACGAUGAGCGUAAGAAUAGUGAAGCUGUACGUGUGCGAGCUGUUGCGAGACACUGAGGCUGCUAAGUUCUUCCGGGGCGCAUGUGCAGAA